AGUGAACGCUGGCGGUAUGCCUAAUACAUGCAAGUCGAACGGACGCACAGUAAGCGUUCUCCCCUAACGGUGGCGGGUGGCGGACGGGUGAGACAUAGAUAACCUUCCUAUAAUACGUGGGGGACAUCGUGGAGCAAGUUACGAUACCACCGCAUAUGACCUACGGGUUAAAUCAGGAGAUAUAGGCAGCUUGCCCGUCUCAAAGAGCCGACGCCGCAUUAGCUAGUUGGCAUGGUAAAGGCACACCAAGGCGACGAUCCGUAGCUGGUCUGAGAGGAUGAUCGGCCACACUGGAACUGAGACACGGUCCAGACUCCUACGGGAGGCAGCAGUAGGGAAUCUUCGACAAUGGGCGAAAGCCUGACCCAGCAAUGCCGCGUGGGUGAUGAAGGUCUUCGGGUCGUAAAGCCCUUUUGUUAGGAAAGAAAAACUGUGUAAGAAUACAUGCCCGUCUUGACGGUACCUAAUCAGAAAGCCACGGCUAACUACGUG
rnacentral:rRNA from 1 species